UCCCUCCCUCCCUCUCUCUCUCUCUCUCUCUCUCUCUCUCUCUGCGUUAGGGUUUACAGGCUUCGAACUUGCAGAUAUUUAAAAAAAAAAAAACCAGCAAAAAUGGCGAGGUACCGUAGCAGAAGCAGGAGCUACAGCCCGCAGCGGGGGAGCAGAACUCCUCCUCGAAGUCGGAAGCUCAAUGAAGACGACCCCCGGGUCCGCCGGUCUUACAGGGAGCGCCGGUCUCCAGCUCCGUCGGGCCUCCUGCUCCGCAAUCUUCCCCUCAAUACUAGGCCGGAAGAUCUCAGGGCCCCGUUUGAGCGCUUUGGUCCAGUGAAAGAUGUCUACCUUCCUAAGAAUUACCACACUGGGGAGCCACGGGGAUUUGGAUUUGUGAAGUUCCGAUAUGCUGAAGAUGCUGCUGAGGCGAAGCAACAGAUGAAUCAUAGGAUAAUUGGUGGGCGUGAGGUCAGAAUUGUUUUUGCCGAGGAGAACCGCAAGACUCCCAGAGAGAUGCGAACGACUGAACGAGUGAGUGGUCGAUCCAGGGGAAAUUAUAGAAGGAGAAGCCUAUCAAGGUCCCCGAGACGCCGUUACCGCUCAUACUCAAGGUCACUCUCACCAGCUAGAUGAUAAAGUGAACAGGAAGGUUUUAAAGACAUCUGGGUUAAUAAAGUUUUACGAGAAAAGAGACCUUAAAGUGAUGGACCACUCGCUUAUCUAUUGUCAAAGCAUCUCUUUAAGAAUGAUUACUUCGUGGUUCAUGAGCACCGAUUACUGUCAGCAAUGGCAUGGGAUUUGUUCCUUAAGUCUCUGAGGCUUGCUGGACAAAGAGACAAAUACUGAAUUAAGAAAAGAAUAUAGAGCUUACAUACCAAAGAAAGUAAUCAUCAGCGAUGAAGGAAGGCUAUUACCAGUAGAGAUAUGAGAACACCGUGAAGAGUAAAAAAGAUUGUUUGAGGUCUUAGAAAGUUGGGGGCAAAGAGCACGAUGAAGUUAUCUGAUUCUGAACAACCAGCACGCCGUCAUUUUUAUUUAACUUUGAAUAUGUGCAGGAGCCGCGAGACAAAGGCUCUUUACCGAUCUCCAGCACGAUCAGGGUCUCCACUUCCUCGUGACUACAUGGACAGAAGGCCAAGCAAGCAGUCUCCAAGCCCAAAGGAAAAUGGUCGAACCCCUAUGGAGGAGAGGGAUUAUUACCCACCAAGCAGGUCAGGGAGUCCAUGAGUCAAUAGUUGCUAUCCUUAAAAAUCUAAAGGACUGGUAGUGUCGAAGUUGUCUGCAUCGUGAAAUGUACUCUGUGUCGAAUCCGAUGUGAAGAAUGUUAAAUAUAGGGAUCUUCCACUUUUGGGUCCUCCACAUGUUGCUCAUAUUUUACUCUUCUAGAACAGCUUUCUUGUUGGGUGGCCACUUUUGCUGUCUCGUACAAGUCACUCUGAGGUCGGAUUACUUGUGGAUAUGAUAUAAGCUCCAGUUUACAGGUUUUCUGUGAUUAAACAAACUAUGAACUUGUUCUA